rnacentral:miRNA from 1 species
GAGGUGGGAGGAUCGCUUGAGGCCAGGAGUUUGAGGUUCAGUGAGCUAUGAUCAUACCACUGCACUCCAGCCUGAGCAACACAGCAAGACCCUGUCUCA